UGGGGAAUAUUGGACAAUGGGCGAAAGCCUGAUCCAGCCAUGCCGCGUGUGUGAAGAAGGUCUUCGGAUUGUAAAGCACUUUAAGUUGGGAGGAAGGGCAGUUACCUAAUACGUGAUUGUUUUGACGUUACCGACAGAAUAAGCACCGGCUAACUCUGUGCCAGCAGCCGCGGUAAUACAGAGGGUGCAAGCGUUAAUCGGAAUUACUGGGCGUAAAGCGCGCGUAGGUGGUUAGUUAAGUUGGAUGUGAAAUCCCCGGGCUCAACCUGGGAACUGCAUUCAAAACUGACUGACUAGAGUAUGGUAGAGGGUGGUGGAAUUUCCUGUGUAGCGGUGAAAUGCGUAGAUAUAGGAAGGAACACCAGUGGCGAAGGCGACCACCUGGACUGAUACUGACACUGAGGUGCGAAAGCGUGGGGAGCAAACAGGAUUAGAUACCCUUGUAGUCCCUGAGCGGGCUGGCAAGGCGCAU
rnacentral:rRNA from 1 species